GACAGGCUGAUCCCACGUUCUAGAAAACCUGAGGGUCGUGCACCCCUUCAUUUCGUCUGUUCAUCUUCUCUCUCUAGGGUUUCUCUCUCUUCUCCAUCCGCUCUCGCAGCCAUCGCCGAAAUUGCUUGCAUCACCCAUUAUUGUUGCGCGCCUUUGGAUCCCAGCGCGGAAUCAGCGGGGUAUGAAGCGAAGAUUAGACCCAGUUCAUCGUCACGAACAGCCGGAAUCCGGAGGGGAGAGUGUUGGAAUCGCAGAUCAGAUGCAUCAGGGGUUGGCUUCGAAUCUAGUGGUGCAGGCUCAGAAUCAGGUGAGCCACCUCCCCAUCCCUCCCCUCUGCAGGGCGCCUUGCAAACGUGAAAUCUCUCUCUCUCUCUCUCUCUCUCUCUCUCUCUCUCAUCUCUGAUUUGGGGUGCUUUCAGCGUCGUUUCCAUUGCCCAGCGAAAUGAUAGAGUUGGGGCCUAGGGGGCGCAGGGGGUGGAGAGCUGGCAGUGAUUCUGGUGAUUUUUGUUCCUAUCGUCUCCAGAUCGAGGGAACUGUGAGGACCAGGGGCAACGAAUCAGUGCCCAGCCUGUGCUCCUUGGCGGCAGCCGCAAUACCGGGGUAAUACAUUUUCAGAGGUAAACCCCAUGCCCAACCAACAAGAUGCGAUUUCCCCCAGGUCUUUCUGUCGUGUGGGUGUUGUCUAGUCCUCCUGCGCGAUUCAAGCCGAUUCGAUUUCUGUGUGCUGCAUGUAUUUUAGCCCCCACCUACUGGCUGCAGUAGUAUUUUGGUAGAGAUUGGUGCGGUGGGAGUGUGUGUACUACUGGUAAAGAUUGCUACAUAUAUUGUUGUUCUGCAGGGAAGUCAAAUCGAUGCAAGCCAUUAAUUGUUGGUUUUCUGUCCUUAUGCAAUAGCUGCUCCAGAUCGAUACAAAUAUUAUACUGUGCUUAGCUCGUGUAGUUUUACCUUUGUAUGUAUCAAUUUUUACUUGAGUGCUCAUGUGCUUUUACCCGAUGGCUCUAUAACUUUUUUCUCCCAUCCAACAGCAAGUGCUUAUGUGAUUUUACUUAAUGACAGGGAGCUGUAGCACAUGUCUUCUAGCUUUUGCAUUCUCUCUCAUGUGGGAAAAUUAAUUUGAGAUAGCUAAUCAUUUUCCAUAAUCAUUGCCUUUGCCUUUUUUUUAUGCUUUUUGUGUGGCCAGAUUUGUGUUUUUUCAGUGUUCCUCUCUGGAAUGCUGUGAUAUGGAUUAGUCUUUAGACACAGUAACAAGAUCACCACUAGAGAUGGGCUUAAGUUGUAAAUCUAUAUUUCUACCAUUUUUAAAUCCGAUCAUUUUUAGACUCCUGUUAUGCAUUGGUGGUCCAGAAUAGAACCUAAUCAUUUUGCAGGGGCUUGACUAUGCAAGUGCAGAACUACAUGUUGGUUGCUUGCGACCCACAAACUUUUCUACUGGCAUUGUUAGAAGCAUUUUAAUACAUUUUAUUAGGUAUUUAAAUACUAUUCAGAUAGCAUUUUUAGUGUUCAGUUCAAGCAAUUUUUUUUAACAUUUUAUAUGUCUCAUGUGAUGGCCGAUAGACUCUCCUUUUGUUCGGAACCAAGUCUUUUACAUCAUUACAAUCUAAAGUUUCCUUCUCAUGGUGUUUGUUUCUUUGCUCUACACCCUAUGGGGAAAUAGCUAAAUUCAAGGCAUGUGCAUCUAAAAAUAGCUAAAUUCAGAUAUGGUGUGAUGCUAUAUCUAUUUAGUGUCAUGUGUAAUCACUGUCAUUGAAUGAUUUAUAUGUUUAAUACAAUCUGAAAUUGUUACAUUUAUCUGGCAUACUGUUUUUUAUCCUUUUUUGGAAUAUUAUAUACAAUGCAUUAAUUUGGGGAAAUUGCAGUUAUUCUGCUCCCAGAUUAAAGAUACUAUGGGGAUACAUGUCAAAAAAGUGGAGUCCAUUUCUCCACCGCGUUCGGUUUGACCUUCCUACUUAUGUAUGUUGUGUCACCUUGUAGGCAACAUAUACUGAAUCGACAAGUAAUAUAUUUAUUAUAAUUUAGCAUUUUUGUUCUUCUAAUUUAGCAUUUUUUAUGUUCUGAUGAUAAAUAUUUUCAGGGAAUUUGAUUAAUUUUGCUCUCUCACUUGUCCUACAUUGCUUUUGAGUCCACUAUAUCUUUUUUUAAAUAGUACUUGCAAACAGUGUUCCGAUAUUAAUUAAGAAGUUGAUCUCUCAUCUCAUGCUGCCAUGCCGCGCGGUGCUUGCAAGGGGUUAAUCAGGGGGAGUCUAUUCCCCGCAUAUGCGAGGGGCGACAAACGCAUCGCAGAAGGGAUUCGCCGCCGCUCCCCCGCCAUCCACCGCCUCCCCAAGCUCCGGCGCCGCCGCCCUCCACCGCCUCCAACCCUAACCAAGCUCGUCGAAACCGCGCCGCCGGCUUCUUCUCGCCCCCGCCGCCGGCCGCCGCCCACCGGGGGUCCUACCCCGCCCAGCCGGCGGCGCUCCCGCGCCGCCUCGCCCUCCGCCGGCCGAACCGUCGCCGCCGCCCGUCCUCCGCCGCCCGGGGCCCCUCCUCUUCUAACGCCGGCGGCCAUGGAGCUCCCCGAACCCAGGGUACACUCAGAGGAUUUGAUCAGGACACCAACAUCUAGCUGUUGAAGCCAAUGAAUCAUCAUGUGGAAACUGCUAUCGCUUAAAGUAUUGCAGUAUAGAUAGUUGAUGCACCUGUAGGAGCUGCAUCACCAUAAAUUAUUAGAUGCUAAAUCUAAUGUUUUCAUCAGGCAAGAAUAAUAUACUUUGUGUCUUGUAGUGUCGAUCUAAUGUUUCAUGUAGGCAACAUACUGCAAAGUCUUUAACUCCUACUACUUUAAUUUCCUCUAAUUAUGUUCUUUUUUAAAAGCAUUGCAGGCCGUGGCGUGGUUAGGAAAGGAAGCAAAUAGGCAUUUCCUCUAAUGUUAUUUGCUUGUAUAUUUAAUCUAAUUUUGCUUCAAAUCAAUCUGUGUUAUUUGCUUGUACAUUUUUUCUAAAUUACUUCGGAGUUUAUUAUAAUAUGCUUCCAACUUUUAAUAGAAGUGCUUUUGGAACUUUAUGAGAAAAAUAUGAUCGAAAUAUAUUGAAGUGAGAUCUUGUUUUGAA